GUCAGUGCCCGGUACUCCUGUCCGGUACCAGUUAAUAAAUUUGCAAUAGCCAAACCUAAACGAAAAUAGUAUAUUUUAUUAUAUGAGAAAUUAAACAAAAAAAUGUAUGUAAACUUCUUGGAUCAGUUGUUUCGUCAACAAUUAUGUAAACUUAAUUUCCAAUUUCACUAAUUAUUUGGUAUAUAAUUUUUUCUUAAAGUACUUUCAUCUGGAAGUGAUUUGCCAGUUUGUUUUACAAAAACGAUUUUAGCACAUGAUUGCACAGCUUUACGCAAAGGAAUAUUUGCAGCAAUAAAUGCAUUAAAUAAUUCUUCAAAAAAUACAUUUUUACUAUUUGAUUUUUGAGAGUAAUCAAAAGCUGUUUUUUUUCAUUAUUCCUUUGUAAUGCAUUUAUGAACUAUAAAAAAUAUACACGUAUUUUUGAAUAUGUAGUAUAUUGUGUGUGUUGUAUCCUAUAUCCGGUUGAUGCCGGGUUCACCGUCAAUUUUGGUUUCUUCCGUAAAUGACGGCGGAUACUCAUUUAUUUAAGUUCGACUUUUGAGAUUAAUCAAACACUGAACUCAUCCGUUUUGAAAUAAUUACUUAUUGUUUAUUAUUAUUUAAAUUUAUUUAAAAAG